rnacentral:lncRNA from 1 species
UGUUUGUAUGCAAGGUGAAAAAAGUGAGUUUGGUGAAAUGAUGCAUUGGUAAGUUUCUCCUUAAAAUUUACCCAAAUCUUUCCAACUAUUUCCAUUUCCUCAAUCUCUAUCAAAGGCAAAGUCUUUCCUAAUAUUUUAGACUCUUUUAUUUAAUGCAAUUAUUGGGGUUGGCAAAUGAGACUUUGUUCCAAUUUUAUUGUUGGUUAAAUGAUUGGUGAGGACCAUUUUUCACCUUUAACUAAGCUAUAUGUUUCGUUUUACAUUUCAUAUAUUGGGGUUCAUGAAUCAUGCACAAUAUUGAGUAUUUAGUUCGUAAGGGGGUUCUCAUUUUUGUGUGGUGGUUGUGUCUGAUUUUAUUGGCAGGUUUCUUGCAAGAAGCUAUGAGAAUGCUGACUCUCCUUUCCAGAUUCAGAUAUUUCUAUCUUGGACAUUUUUUCAUCUGGCAUCCGGGAGAUAUGGUUAUUAAAUCUCGAAGAUUCUGUACUUGAGAGCUUGAUCUUGAAAUUGAAAGGGGAAAUUGACUAUUGAUUUUUCAUUUUGUGUUAUGGAGUUUAUAAAAGUAGGGAAGAAUAUGAUUUUUUCAUUUUGUGCUAUGGAGUUUCUGUAAGAUGAACAAGGUCCAAGGAAGUAUGUUUUGCCUUUAGCUAAACUAAUUCAAUGAUUGUGUUAUUGUUGUUUUCUUUCACGGUUCAUCAUUUAGAGGAC